rnacentral:tRNA from 1 species
GCAGGUAUGGCGGAAUCGGCAGACGCGCUAGCUUCAGGUGCUAGUGGGGGCAACCUCGUGGAAGUUCAAGUCUUCUUACCUGCACCA